AUUGAACGCUGGCGGCAGGCCUAACACAUGCAAGUCGAGCGGAUGAAGGGAGCUUGCUCCUGGAUUCAGCGGCGGACGGGUGAGUAAUGCCUAGGAAUCUGCCUGGUAGUGGGGGAUAACGUCCGGAAACGGGCGCUAAUACCGCAUACGUCCUGAGGGAGAAAGUGGGGGAUCUUCGGACCUCACGCUAUCAGAUGAGCCUAGGUCGGAUUAGCUAGUUGGUGGGGUAAAGGCCUACCAAGGCGACGAUCCGUAACUGGUCUGAGAGGAUGAUCAGUCACACUGGAAGUGAGACACGGUCCAGACUCCUACGGGAGGCAGCAGUGGGGAAUAUUGGACAAUGGGCGAAAGCCUGAUCCAGCCAUGCCGCGUGUGUGAAGAAGGUCUUCGGAUUGUAAAGCACUUUAAGUUGGGAGAAAGGGCAGUAAGUUAAUACCUUGCUGUUUUGACGUUACCAACAGAAUAAGCACCGGCUAACUUCGUG
rnacentral:rRNA from 1 species